GAUGAAGAACGUAGCGAAAUGCGAUAAGUAAUGUGAAUUGCAGAAUUCAGUGAAUCAUCGAGUCUUUGAACGCACAUUGCGCCCCCUGGUAUUCCGGGGGGCAUGCCUGUCCGAGCGUCAUUGCCGCCCUCAAGCACGGCUUGUGUGUUGGGCCCCCGCCCCCCGGCUUCGGGGGGCGGGCCCGAAAGGCAGCGGCGGCACCGCGUCCGGUCCUCGAGCGUAUGGGGCUUCGUCACCCGCUCUGUAGGCCCGGCCGGCGCCCGCCGGCGACCCCAAUCAAUCUUUCCAGGUUGACCUCGGAUCAGGUAGGGAUACCCGCUUAACUUAAGCAUAUCAAUAAGCGGAGGA
rnacentral:misc_RNA from 1 species